rnacentral:rRNA from 1 species
GGGGACCUUCGGGCCUCUCGCGUCAGGAUAUGCCUAAGUGGGAUUAGCUAGUUGGUGAGGUAAUGGCUCACCAAGGCGACGAUCCCUAGCUGGUCUGAGAGGAUGAUCAGCCACACUGGAACUGAGACACGGUCCAGACUCCUACGGGAGGCAGCAGUGGGGAAUAUUGCACAAUGGGCGCAAGCCUGAUGCAGCCAUGCCGCGUGUGUGAAGAAGGCCUUCGGGUUGUAAAGCACUUUCAGUCGUGAGGAAGGCGGUAGUGUUAAUAGCACUAUCAUUUGACGUUAGUGACAGAAGAAGCACCGGCUAACUCCGUGCCAGCAGCCGCGGUAAUACGGAGGGUGCGAGCGUUAAUCGGAAUUACUGGGCGUAAAGCGCAUGCAGGUGGUUUGUUAAGUCAGAUGUGAAAGCCCGGGGCUCAACCUCGGAAUAGCAUUUGAAACUGGCAGACUAGAGUACUGUAGAGGGGGGUAGAAUUUCAGGUGUAGCGGUGAAAUGCGUAGAGAUAUGAAGGAACACCGGUGGCGAAGGCGGCCCCCUGGA